GUUUGUAUCAUCAUGACAUGAAAAAAUUCUCUUUAAUUCCAGAUAAAAGGUGUAUCCGGAAUCCACAAAACCAACAAAACCAAGGAAAUCAGGAGGUGAUGAUUCCACUAAGGACGAAUGAUAAUGAGGAUGCAGAUUCUGGUGGUGGUGCUGAAAUUUAGACUCAUUAGGAUAUAGCUUUGUGAUGGUGAUGCAGAACAUGGAAAAAUCUAUUCAUAAUGGAGAUAUAACUAAAUUGAAUUUAUUUCUUGUUAUUAUCUGGUCAUACAUUUCCAUCUGUUUUAUUACUUGCUAAAUCCUUUUCUCAUCAUCAUGACAGGAAAAAACAUUCUCUUUGAUUCCAGAUAAUAGGUGUAUCCAGAAUCAACAAAACCAACAUAACCAAGGAAAUUAGGAGUGGAGGUUCUGUAUAUAAUUUACAGGUUAUCAACUCAUCCGGCAGCGAGAAGGAAAAGGGGUCGUGGAGAUGGUUAUGCUAAUUCAAGAUGUUCUUGCUGCAGACAGCGUGAUUAAUGAGGACUGCACUGCUGCUGCUAGUGCCGAUACAGAGACAGAAGUAAAACUGUUAAAAGCUGAAAAUGGAGAUGAUCAGAAAGUGACAAAGAAAAAUCAGAGUCAGCAGCAGUGGUUGGAAGAGUACUGAAAAUCUUUACUCCCACAAAAAAUGAAUUAAAAUGACCAAUUGAGAAUCCUGGUUAAUAAAUUACUUAAAGUACAAGUUACUUUUCAUUUUAAUAUUUUAUGGCGUGAUUAUAACUGUAUUAUCAUGUCUGAUUAAAGUCACCAGAUGUAACUGUUGAGCAGGCUGAAUGAAUGUAAGUAAUAAACAGUUACUGUGAUGAUCAGUUUGUAUUGAAAGGAA